rnacentral:hammerhead_ribozyme from 1 species
GCACUGCUGAAAAGUUCCACAAUAAGACGAAACGACCGUCCAGUGC